rnacentral:rRNA from 1 species
UGGCGGACGGGUGAGUAACGCGUGGGUAACCUGCCUCAUACAGGGGGAUAACAGUUAGAAAUGACUGCUAAUACCGCAUAAGACCACAGCACCGCAUGGUGCAGGGGUAAAAACUCCGGUGGUAUGAGAUGGACCCGCGUCUGAUUAGGUAGUUGGUGGGUAACGGCCUACCAAGCCGACGAUCAGUAGCCGACCUGAGAGGGUGACCGGCCACAUUGGGACUGAGACACGGCCCAA